rnacentral:tRNA from 1 species
ACUUAAGUAAUUUAAUUAAAAUUUCGAUUUGUGGUAUCGAACAUGUAUUUUAUACCUUAGGUU